rnacentral:rRNA from 1 species
AUUGAACGCUAGCGGGAUGCCUUACACAUGCAAGUCGAACGGAGUUGCGAACGGGUGGGUAAUGUAUCGGAACGUGCCCAGUAGCUGGGGAUAACUACGCGAAAGCGUAGCUAAUACCGCAUACUAUUGGAGCUGCCGUUAUCGGAUUAGCUAGUUGGUGGGGUAAGGGCUCACCAAGGCGACGAUCCGUAGCUGGUCUGAGAGGCCGACCAGCCACACUGGGACUGAGACACGGCCCAGACUCCUACGGGAGGCAGCAGUGGGGAAUUUUGGACAAUGGGGGAAAGCCUGAUCCAGCCAUCCCGCGUGUGCGAUGAAGGCCUUCGGGUUGUAAAGCACUUUUGGCAGGAAAGCGGUACCUGCAGAAUAAGCACCGGCUAACUACGUGCCAGCAGCCGCGGUAAUAC